rnacentral:rRNA from 1 species
UACAGAGGGUGCGAGCGUUAAUCGGAAUUACUGGGCGUAAAGCGUGCGUAGACGGUUAUUUAAGUCGGGUGUGAAAGCCCCGGGCUCAACCUGGGAAUUGCAGUGGAUACUGGCAAGCUAGAGUGCGGUAGAGGAUGGUGGAAUUCCCGGUAUAGCGGUGAAAUGCGUAGAGAUCGGGAGGAACACCCGUGGCGAAGGCGGGUCUCUGGGCCGAUACUGACGCUGAGGAGCGAAAGCGUGGGGAGCGAACAGG